rnacentral:snRNA from 1 species
GGAUGUGAGGGCGAUCUGGCUGCGACAUCUGUCACCCCAUUGAUCGCCAGGGUUGAUUCGGCUGAUCUGGCUGGCUAGGCGGGUGUCCCCCUCCUCCCUCACUGAUCCAUGUGUGUCCCUCCCGAAGCUGGCGCUCGGGUUGAAGAGGACGACCUUCCCCACAAGGAGAGGACUGGUCUUCGGUCAAGGGUAUACGAGUAGCUGCGCUCCCCUGCUAGAACCUCCAAACAAGCUCUCAAGAAACUUCUAAUAUUUCGUUUUGAUAAGGUGAUUAUGAAGCAUUAGUCAGGCAGAAACAGAACUCAUACAUUGUACUAGUUUUUGUGAAUGAAUUGGUCACA